AACGCUGGCGGCAUGCCUUACACAUGCAAGUCGAACGGCAGCACGGGUGCUUGCACCUGGUGGCGAGUGGCGAACGGGUGAGUAAUAUAUCGGAACGUACCUUAUCGUGGGGGAUAACGCAGCGAAAGCUGCGCUAAUACCGCAUACGCCCUGAGGGGGAAAGCGGGGGACCGUAAGGCCUCGCGCGAUUAGAGCGGCCGAUAUCUGAUUAGCUUGUUGGUGGGGUAAAAGCCCACCAAGGCGACGAUCAGUAGCUGGUCUGAGAGGACGAUCAGCCACACUGGGACUGAGACACGGCCCAGACUCCUACGGGAGGCAGCAGUGGGGAAUUUUGGACAAUGGGGGCAACCCUGAUCCAGCAAUGCCGCGUGAGUGAAGAAGGCCUUCGGGUUGUAAAGCUCUUUUGUCAGGGAAGAAACAGCAGCUCUAACACAGUCUGCGAAUGACGGUACCUGAAGAAUAAGCACCGGCUAACUACGUG
rnacentral:rRNA from 1 species